UGCUCCCCAUCUCUCAUGAAAAAUGACUUUCUUUACAUCCUCUGUUAAGCAUACCCGAGUACUUUUCGAGAGGAUUGGAGAUCCUACUAUGUGUACGAGGUAGAGAAAUUUACGUCUACUGGCUCAUCAUGAUAAAUAGGUUCUUAAGGUUCCAAGGCUCGUUGCUCUUCAGGAACACUCUCUUUGAGCUUAACUUUUCUCUCAUAGUUUUAUCUUGGUUAAAUAAUUUUUCAAGAAGAUAGCAUGCCGAUCACAAUC
rnacentral:lncRNA from 1 species